GAGCGCAACCCUUGAUGUCAGUUGCCAGCAUUCAGUUAACACUCUAAGGUGACCCUCGGUUCAAACCGGAGGAAGGUGGGGAUGACGUCAAAUCAUCAUGCCCUUUAUGACCUGGGCUACACACGUGCUACAAUGGGCAGAACAAAGGGCAGCGAAGCCGCGAGGCUAAGCCAAUCCCACAAAUCUGUUCUCAGUUCGGAUCGCAGUAUGCAACUCGACUGCGUGAAGCAGGAAUCGCUAGUAAUCGCGGAUCAGCAUGCCGCGUUGAAUACGUUCCCGCGCCUUGUACACACCGCCCUUCACACCACGAGAGUUAGUAACACCAGAAGUCGGUGAGGUAUCCUUUGGAGC
rnacentral:rRNA from 2 species